AGGCAGCGAUUUGACAUCCAUCCUAAAGCAGCGGCUAUGGGGUGUUUGGGCAACAGCAAAACGGAGGAUCAGCGUAUCGAUGAGAAAGCGCAGCGAGAAGCCAACAAAAAAAUAGAGAAGCAGUUGCAGAAAGUAGGCUGGCUUAUAAAGCGACACACCGCUUGCUCCUGCUGGGGGCUGGUGAGUCAGGAAAAAGCACUAUUGUGAAACAAAUGCGAAUCCUACAUGUCAAUGGAUUUAAUUCAGAAGAAAAGAAACAGAAAAUACUGGAUAUUCGGAAAAAUGUUAAAGAUGCGAUUGUGACUAUAGUUUCAGCUAUGAGCACUUUAAUACCCCCAGUUCCAUUGGCCAACCCAGAAAACCAGUUUCGAAUGGACUACAUCAAGAGUAUAGCUCCUCUUUCUGACUUCGACUAUACACAGGUA